rnacentral:rRNA from 1 species
UACGUAGGGGGCUAGCGUUGUCCGGAAUCAUUGGGCGUAAAGAGCGUGUAGGCGGUCCGGUAAGUCCGCUGUGAAAGUCGGGGGCUCAACCCUCGAAUGCCGGUGGAUACUGUCGGGCUAGAGUGCGGAAGAGGCGAGUGGAAGUUCCUGGUGUAGCGGUGAAAUGCGCAGAUAUCAGGAGGAACACCGAUGGCGAAGGCAGCUCACUGGGACGGUACUGACGCUGAGGCGCGAAAGCGUGGGGAGCAAACAGG